UACGUAGGGCGCAAGCGUUAUCCGGAAUUAUUGGGCGUAAAGCGCACGUAGGCGGCCUUGUAAGUCGGAUGUGAAAUCCCUCGGCUUAACCGAGGACGUGCAUCCGAAACUGUGAGGCUCGAGUAUGGAAGAGGGUCGCAGAAUUCCCGGUGUAGAGGUGAAAUUCGUAGAUAUCGGGAGGAAUACCAGUGGCGAAGGCGGCGACCUGGGCCAAUACUGACGCUGAGGUGCGAAAGCGUGGGGAGCAAACAGG
rnacentral:rRNA from 1 species